GGUGGGUUAGCUCAGUGGUUAGAGUUUAGCUCUUGUGACCCGAAGGUAGGUCCCAGGAUUGAAUCCCGCUGGAGGCAUAA
rnacentral:tRNA from 1 species